rnacentral:rRNA from 1 species
GACGAACGCUGGCGGCGUGCUUAACACAUGCAAGUCGAACGGAACGGUCCCUUUGAGUGUCGUCGAGUGGAGUACGGGUGAGUAACACGUGAGUAACCUGCCAUUGACUUAGGGAUAACUUCACUAAACUGGGGCUAAUACCGGAUAGGAAACAUUGCUGGCUGUUGGGGGUUGGCAAGCUUCGGCGGUUAUGUGUGGAAUCGCGGGUUAUUCGCUGGUUGGUUGGGUAGGGGGUUAGCAAGGCUUGGACGGGUAGCUGGGCUGGGAGGGGGAGCUGCCACACUGGAACGGGGAUGCGGCCCAGCCUCCUACGGGAGGCAGCGGUGGGGUAUAGUGCACAAUGGGCGGAACCCUGAUGCAGCACCGCCGCGUGCGGGAUGACGGCCUGCGGUUAGGAAUCCGCUUUCAUCAGGGGCGAAGCGUUUGUGACGGUACCUGCAGAAGAAGCACCGGCUAACUACGUG